rnacentral:rRNA from 1 species
GACGAACGCUGGCGGCGUGCCUAAUACAUGCAAGUUGAGCGAUGAAGAUUGGUGCUUGCCCCAAUUUGAAGAGCAGCGAACGGGUGAGUAACGCGUGGGGAAUCUGCCUUUGAGCGGGGGACAACAUUUGGAAACGAAUGCUAAUACCGCAUAACAACUUUAAACAUAAGUUUUAAGUUUGAAAGAUGCAAUUGCAUCACUCAAAGAUGAUCCCGCGUUGUAUUAGCUAGUUGGUGAGGUAAAGGCUCACCAAGGCGAUGAUACAUAGCCGACCUGAGAGGGUGAUCGGCCACAUUGGGACUGAGACACGGCCCAAACGCCUACGGGAGGCAGCAGUAGGGAAUCUUCGGCAAUGGACGAAAGUCUGACCGAGCAACGCCGCGUGAGUGAAGAAGGGUUUCGGAUCGUAAAACUCUGUUGGUAGAGAAGAACGUUGGUGAGAGUGGAAAGCUCAUCAAGUGACGGUAACUACCCAGAAAGGGACGGCUAACUACGUG